rnacentral:tRNA from 1 species
UGGUGUGUAGCUCAAUUGGCAGAGCAGCGGUCUCCAAAACCGAAGGUUAGAAGUUCGAUUCUUCUCACGCCAGCCA